rnacentral:rRNA from 1 species
UACGAGGGUCCCAAGCGUUAUCCGGAUUUAUUGGGUUUAAAGGGUGCGUAGGCGGAUUAUUAAGUCAGUGGUGAAAGCUCUCAGCCUAACUGAGAAAUUGCCAUUGAUACUGAUGAUCUUGAGUACAUUUGAAGUGGGCGGAAUGUGUCAUGUAGUGGUGAAAUACUUAGAUAUGACACAGAACACCGAUUGCGUAGGCAGCUCGCUAAACUGUAACUGACGCUGAGGCACGAAAGCGUGGGGAGCAAACAGG